GUCCUUUUGAUUUUAUAGAAGGUCUGACCUGCCCAGUGAUUUAUUUUAACGGCCGCGGUAUAUUGACCGUGCAAAGGUAGCAUAAUCAUUAGUCUUUUAAAAGAGGGCUGGAAUGAAAGGUUUGACGAGGUAUUAACUGUCUCAUUUUAUUUGUAUUUAGAAUUUAACUUUUUAGUCAAAAGGCUUAAAUUUAAUUGGAAGACGAGAAGACCCUAUAGAGCUUUAUAUUAAUUAUUUUAGUUAUGAAUAUAUAAUUUUUAAUUAAAUAUUUUAUUAUUUUGUUGGGGUGACAGAAAAAUAUAACUAACUUUUUUAUUUAUUUUACACUAAUUUAUGGUUAUCUGAUCCAUUAUUAUUGAUUAUUAGAUUAAGUUACCUUAGGGAUAACAGCGUAAUCCCCUCCCAGAGUUCAUAUUUACGAGUGGGGCUUGCGACCUCGAUGUUGGAUUAAGAUAAUAAUUAGGUGUAGCCGCUUAAUUUAUAGGUCUGUUCGACCUUUAAAUUCUU
rnacentral:rRNA from 1 species